ensembl:rRNA 5S_rRNA 5S ribosomal RNA
GCCGGCAGCUAGCUCUCUACAACUCUCGCAUGGUUGACCACCGAAGCUAAGCAGGGCUGCGCCCGGUCAGUGCCUGGAUAGGAGACAACAUGGGAAAGCUAAGUUGCUGCCGGAA